GACGAACCGUGCGAACGUUGUUCGGAAUCACUGGGCUUAAAGGGCGCGUAGGCGGGCUAUCAAGUCCGGGGUGAAAUCCUCCAGCUCAACUGGAGAACGGCCUCGGAUACUGAUGGUCUCGAGGGAGGUAGGGGCACGCGGAACUGUGGGUGGAGCGGUGAAAUGCGUUGAUAUCCAUAGGAACUCCGGUGGCGAAGGCGGCGUGCUGGACCUUUUCUGACGCUGAGGCGCGAAAGCCAGGGGAGCAAACGGG
rnacentral:rRNA from 1 species